rnacentral:rRNA from 1 species
GAUGAACGCUGGCGGCGUGCCUAAUACAUGCAAGUCGAGCGAACGGACGAGAAGCUUGCUUCUCUGAUGUUAGCGGCGGACGGGUGAGUAACACGUGGAUAACCUCCCUAUAAGACUGGGAUAACUUCGGGAAACCGGAUCUAAUACCGGAUGAUCUUUUGAACCGCAUGGUUCAAAAGUGAAAGACGGUCUUGCUGUCACUUAUAGAUGGAUCCGCGCUGCAUUAGCUAGUUGGUAAGGUAACGGCUUACCAAGGCAACGAUGCAUAGCCGACCUGAGAGGGUGAUCGGCCACACUGGAACUGAGACACGGUCCAGACUCCUACGGGAGGCAGCAGUAGGGAAUCUUCCGCAAUGGGCGAAAGCCUGACGGAGCAACGCCGCGUGAGUGAUGAAGGUCUUCGGAUCGUAAAACUCUGUUAUUAGGGAAGAACAUAUGUGUAAGUAACUGUGCACAUCUUGACGGUACCUAAUCAGAAAGCCACGGCUAACUACGUG